CCAUGGUAUUGAAGGUGGUAGA
rnacentral:miRNA from 8 species